rnacentral:tRNA from 1 species
GCCAAAGUGGCGGAAUGGCAGACGCGCUGGACUCAAAAUCCUGUGUCCGAAAGGACGUGUGGGUUCGACUCCCACCUUUGGUAC